rnacentral:rRNA from 1 species
GACGAACGCUGGCGGCGUGCCUAAUACAUGCAAGUCGAACGAACUCUGGUAUUGAUUGGUGCUUGCAUCAUGAUUUACAUUUGAGUGAGUGGCGAACUGGUGAGUAACACGUGGGAAACCUGCCCAGAAGCGGGGGAUAACACCUGGAAACAGAUGCUAAUACCGCAUAACAACUUGGACCGCAUGGUCCGAGUUUGAAAGAUGGCUUCGGCUAUCACUUUUGGAUGGUCCCGCGGCGUAUUAGCUAGAUGGUGGGGUAACGGCUCACCAUGGCAAUGAUACGUAGCCGACCUGAGAGGGUAAUCGGCCACAUUGGGACUGAGACACGGCCCAAACUCCUACGGGAGGCAGCAGUAGGGAAUCUUCCACAAUGGACGAAAGUCUGAUGGAGCAACGCCGCGUGAGUGAAGAAGGGUUUCGGCUCGUAAAACUCUGUUGUUAAAGAAGAACAUAUCUGAGAGUAACUGUUCAGGUAUUGACGGUAUUUAACCAGAAAGCCACGGCUAACUACGUGCCAGCAGCCGCGGUAAUACGUAGGUGGCAAGCGUUGUCCGGAUUUAUUGGGCGUAAAGCGAGCGCAGGCGGUUUUUUAAGUCUGAUGUGAAAGCCUUCGGCUCAACCGAAGAAGUGCAUCGGAAACUGGGAAACUUGAGUGCAGAAGAGGACAGUGGAACUCCAUGUGUAGCGGUGAAAUGCGUAGAUAUAUGGAAGAACAUCAGUGGCGAAGGCGGCUGUCUGGUCUGUAACUGACGCUGAGGCUCGAAAGUAUGGGUAGCAAACAGGAUUAGAUACCCUGGUAGUCCAUACCGUAAACGAUGAAUGCUAAGUGUUGGAGGGUUUCCGCCCUUCAGUGCUGCAGCUAACGCAUUAAGCAUUCCGCCUGGGGAGUACGGCCGCAAGGCUGAAACUCAAAGGAAUUGACGGGGGCCCGCACAAGCGGUGGAGCAUGUGGUUUAAUUCGAAGCUACGCGAAGAACCUUACCAGGUCUUGACAUACUAUGCAAAUCUAAGAGAUUAGACGUUCCCUUCGGGGACAUGGAUACAGGUGGUGCAUGGUUGUCGUCAGCUCGUGUCGUGAGAUGUUGGGUUAAGUCCCGCAACGAGCGCAACCCUUAUUAUCAGUUGCCAGCAUUAAGUUGGGCACUCUGGUGAGACUGCCGGUGACAAACCGGAGGAAGGUGGGGAUGACGUCAAAUCAUCAUGCCCCUUAUGACCUGGGCUACACACGUGCUACAAUGGAUGGUACAACGAGUUGCGAACUCGCGAGAGUAAGCUAAUCUCUUAAAGCCAUUCUCAGUUCGGAUUGUAGGCUGCAACUCGCCUACACGAAGUCGGAAUCGCUAGUAAUCGCGGAUCAGCAUGCCGCGGUGAAUACGUUCCCGGGCCUUGUACACACCGCCCGUCACACCAUGAGAGUUUGUAACACCCAAAGUCGGUGGGGUAACCUUUUAGGAACCAGCCGCCUAAGGUGGGACAGAUGAUUAGGGUGAAG